GUCUGCAUGGUUCGAAAUUGAAAGGCGGCUUCGGCUGUCACUUAUGGAUGGACCCGCGUCGCAUUAGCUAGUUGGUGAGGUAACGGCUCACCAAGGCAACGAUGCGUAGCCGACCUGAGAGGGUGAUCGGCCACACUGGGACUGAGACACGGCCCAGACUCCUACGGGAGGCAGCAGUAGGGAAUCUUCCGCAAUGGACGAAAGUCUGACGGAGCAACGCCGCGUGAGUGAUGAAGGCUUUCGGGUCGUAAAACUCUGUUGUUAGGGAAGAACAAGUGCUAGUUGAAUAAGCUGGCACCUUGACGGUACCUAACCAGAAAGCCACGGCUAACUACGUGCCAGCAGCCGCGGUAAUACGUAGGUGGCAAGCGUUAUCCGGAAUUAUUGGGCGUAAAGCGCGCGCAGGUGGUUUCUUAAGUCUGAUGUGAAAGCCCACGGCUCAACCGUGGAGGGUCAUUGGAAACUGGGAGACUUGAGUGCAGAAGAGGAAAGUGGAAUUCCAUGUGUAGCGGUGAAAUGCGUAGAGAUAUGGAGGAACACCAGUGGGCGAAGGCGACUUUCUGGUCUGUAACUGAC
rnacentral:rRNA from 1 species